GAAUCGGGAGGUGCAGGGGGUGGGAUCCAUAAAAAGCGGUGUGGAGGUGUACAGCCUGAGCCUGACUCCACGCCACUGGGUAAUUUAUGUUGUCACACUGCUGUUCUUGGUGCGGAGGCGUUCAGAAUGUCACAGAGGCCAGACCUACAGGCUCCUGGACCCCUGGGCCGGCAGGGCAUCUCGGAAGAACAGUGCUUGGUUUGAUACCUGCAGCAGAGGAGAGGAAAGCCCAGGGGCAUAGUGUGAGGAGGUGACCCAUCGUGUCCCAGUACAUCCGGGACUAGCUUUCUGAGCCCCCUAUCCAAAGCUGGCUUUAUUUCCGUUAACGCUGGUGCUCCCGCAUCUCAUGAGGACACGCUGUGUGUCUGUCCUCUCUCUGCAUUUCAUCGUCCCCCCCACCCCCCUGGACACGGGGAAAGGGUUAAGCGGCAAGCCUUGGUUCAUGGUUUUAAUUCCUUGUUAAAGUAAAUUAGGCAAUGCCAAAGGCUGUGGGUUUGGUCCUUGGAGAAAAUGUGGGCCUUACAAGAUGGGAGAGUAAAUUUUGGAGGGCUUUAUUGAAGAAAUAAAAGACAUCUUUUGUAUCUUUCUUCCCCGGAGCCCUUCAUUUUCAUAACUGUGUUCCUGUUGGUUUAAUUAAACGUAGAAAGGUAAGAUAUUGAGUCCACCUGCCUUGGAGCAGACCCAGGUCUGAACUUUUUCAAAUCCUUGACACAUUUAACUUGAAGGAUUUGAAACACACUAUCAUAGGUCACCUAGUUCAGUUUUAUGUCCUACUGGAUUAAGUUUUUAAUGUUUGAAAGCAUAGUUUUAUGGUAGUCCUUCAGGGAAGAAUCCAGUAUUAUCUAAAAUUAUUGGCAAAGUUAAAUGUAUUUUACAUAACAAAGUUUUUAGAAUGUUGAGAAGUAACUGAAAAUAGAGUGAUGUUUAGGCUGAGAUAAUUUAUUUCAAUACAUCUUUCAAAAGCCUUAUCUUGAAAUGCUGUUAGUAAAUUUCUGUGAUUUUUAUUUUUCUUUUUAAAUUGGUUUUGCUGAGAGCAUAGCUAUUUGUUUUUAUUGUAAAACAAUAAUAAUGAUAAUAAAAAGCAAACUCUCCUAGUGUGUUGUGUGUGGCUGGGAGCUAAGGCAGUUUUUUUCAGAGGUGCGGAAAUUAGAACGCGUUUUGAUUUUCUGUGUUCCGUUUUGGUUGGAGGGUUUUUUCAUCCUUGUAUAUGUGUGCAUGUUGUGCACAUUUAAAGAUGAUACCAGUUCCAUGUGUUCUUAUGUUUCAGAUGUGUGAAAAGAGAAAAUGUUUUGGAGUCAAUUUUAGAGGGUCCUGAGACAUUGGAAUACAGCAGUAUGACAGUGAUCAAAGUGGAGCCAUGCCUUUAAAAUGACCCCAAAAGAGAAGUCCUAAAUUCACCCUUAGAUUUUACACCUGGAUAGUAAAGGGUUCUGGGCACUAAUUGUAUUGUCUCUUGGCUUUUGUCACUUCUUGAGGGCAUCUGGGACAGAUGCCAAGGGCAAGGGCAGGAGGCUAGACCAGUGUCCCGUUCCAUCAGGUGGUCCCCAUCCCAUGGCCCCUUCACUGUGCUGGCUGUCUCCAGGAAGGGAGCCUGUCCUCGUGCUCCGCCACGUAGCCCAAAGCAGAGGCCAGGCUGCUGGUUCACGUUUGUAAACUGAGUGUUUGGGCGCUCUGUGAAUGGUGGUGGAGGUGCCCUUGCCCUCUCUGGGCUCUUUUGGAAGUGCUCUCCCUUACUCCCUCCAUUUUCUUUUGGCUCUGCUGACAUCUUGGGUUCUCGCUGUUUUGUUUUCUCCCCCUAAUUUUGAGGCUUUUAUGUACUGUAGAGAUCGAUGGUCCUUGUGGAUGUUUUUCUUGUGUUGAUAUAAAUCCUGGGUGCCCAGGUGGCCACUUGGACCUGGUUUCCCACUUGAGCUGUGCAGACAGUAUGCUUUUUUAUCUUUAGCCAGCAGAUGUGGUCCUCUCUGGGCGUGACUUUCCCCACUACGGGGAGGAAGCGGAGAGCUCUGUGGAGCAGGGCCUCGCAUGCAGGAGGAGCCAUGGCCCUGCCGCCGAGCUGGUCAGGGAACAACGCCUGCCUGCCCUGAAGGCCCUCCAUCAUCUGAACGCCUCCAUCUCUCGGCGCCCCUGACUGCACCUUAGAGUCGCUUGUGGAGUGUCUGGAGACCAUUGAUGCGUAGGCUCUGCCCCCACGUGUCUCAUCUAAUUGAAUUGGUCUUUCCCUGCACCCUUUCCCAAGAAAAUGCUUCUGGAUCCCAUUUUAAGGAAGAUAAGGCAAAGAAACUUCUGUUGUUUUUAUCUACAAAAUUCAUAUGCAAGAACUGUUAUCCUAUGGCUCAUUUUUUUUAGAGAAGUUCAGGUAUGCCAUAUGUAGAAGUCACGGCGUCCUGCAGCCUUUCAUCUGCAUCCCCCCAGACCAGUGUCCUGAAGUCAAGCUGUGGCCAGGAGCGCAGCCUUCCCAUCAACAGAGAUGGCUGUGAGCCUCCCUCUGCAGAUAAGUUGGGGCGAGGGGAGCUGGUGGGAGCAGCGCUGGGGGAGGGAUGGGCCUGGCUGGCUCACCAGCAGGCUUUUCCUGGCUGAGGAGCUCCCGGAUCCGUUCUUUGUUAACAGGAGGGGACUAGCCUCUUGUUACGCCAUGGUCUCUGCAGCAGUAUCAACCCCCACUUUCCAUCCUCACUAGAUUCAAAAGGCCACUGGAAUUGCCAAGGAGAGGCCUUCCUGGGCUGCUGGCGUGCGGAGGAUUCCAAUUAACUGCCCUUGCCCAGCCCCUGCCAUCUCCUAGGUGGAGCACUUGACUGCUUGGCUAGUAAGUGAUCCAUGGACAUGAUGCAAGGAUUUUGAUGAGCUCUGUUACCUCCAGGUCUCAGUCUCAACUGAUCUGCAACUAACUGCAGUGGAAACCUGGCAACCCAGUGGAGAGGUAGUGAGACCUGCCACUUGGAGGAACUGAGAACCAGAUUCCGUACACCAGGCUGCGCUCAGCUGCUCCGUGUGUGUUUGGCCUGCCGGGGACGUCUGGCAUUCAAGUGCAACAGGAGAGGCUUUUAAAGAUGUCCAACACAAACAUCCCCACAUGAGAAAGAGUGAACACAGGUCACUGAAACAAAGGAAAAGGUGGAGGGGCGCACACACACAAAGGGAGCAUCCAUCUGAGAGACGGAGAAGCAAAAUGUCAGCGGGAAAAACCACAACCCGGUUCCCAAAGACUAUGAAAGCUGAUCUGAUGUAAAGACUCAACUAAAACCGGAUUCUACAGCAUUCUACAUAAAUACACAGCCGUCAGUCACUCUGGGUUGUAGGUUAGACAGGGGCUUGAUACAGAAAGGCUGUGUGUCUUACAAAGGCCAAAAGGUCAUGCUACCAGGAGAUCAACGUCAACAGCAAAGAGUCCGUGAAGCAGUCUGUAGAGAGAGAGAUAAGGGGUCCAGUCUGACCAUUUUCCUUGAUUUAAAACACCAACCAACCAACCAACCAACCAACAAUCCCUCCAACAUGUUUAAUAAUGUUGAGGUGGGGCAAGAUGGGGCAGCAUCGCAGGGGGAUCAGCAAUCCAGGGGAAGCCUAGCCCAGGCCUCCUGGGAGGCCUCACCCCUCGGGACCCUGACCCAGCCAGGUCUGCAGAUCUGCCCUCCCCUCCGCCACUCCCGCCCCUUCUCCACAUCACUCCCCUUCUUUUUCCCGCCCUCUUGGAGGGGGAGCCCUUCUGGAGGGGAGGAGCAGCUUCAGCUCUGCACUGUGACCUUGUGCUUUGCCCGGCCCCUCCCCUCAGCUGCUUGCAGAAAGCAGCCGGAGUCUCCCUUUUCUCUGACUCUUGCCUUGUUAACAUGAAUAAAGAAAACUCAGGAGACAGACAGUGGAUUGGUCGGAGCAAUGAUUCUUCUAAAUUCUUGAAAUUAACCACCUCUACCACCCAAAAGAGAAGCAUCCUUAAUUUUUCUGUUGGGAGUAUAGGGCAGGGAGACAUUUGGGGUGUUGGCCAUUUUUUAAAGGGUUUUGGAAUUUGCACAAGAGCAGGACAGAACUGACAGCACACAGCCUCAGCGGGUGGAAGCAGAGGAAAAGGCUGGACUAAGGCUAGGCCUUUCCUUGCCCUCUCCCUGCUCACAGAAAUGGGUCUCAGCGAGUGUAAAAUCACGUGGCUGUUCUUAAAAGGAUGGACUCCCAAAUCAGGACUGCCACCGUGACGUGUGUGUGUGUGUGUGUGUGUGCGCGUGCAUGCACAUAAGUGCAUGCUCAGGUGCUGUCCCAGGAAAACCUUGAUGAUCAAUGGAAUGUCGGUCUGUUCUGUCUCAAGCUCCUUCUAGUACAAACUAAAAAAACCUUUAUAUUUGUCUGUCUAUAUAUAAGGUUUGUUAUGCCUUUUUCAAGUUUAUUUACCAACUUGCAUUUGUUUGUUUGUUAGUGGGGUGUGUGUGUGUAUGUGUGCAAGCUUUUCUGUGAAUGCUGGAAUCAAUCAUUACCAAAUAGGUUGCUAUACAGGACAAGAGGUCAGUACAAGCCGCAGCCCCGGAGGUUGUUGGCAAUGAUGAUGUCAGUGACGGCGUCGAAUACCACCUGGAUAUUAUUCGUGUCUGUGGCACAAGUCAUGUGACAAUAAAUUUCUUUGUUGGGUGAGCGGU